UGGGUAUGUGUGUAUUAGGGCGGGGGUGGGGUGAGGUGGUCUGUGUGCAAGUCUGCAUGAUUUGCUUGUGAAUGUGUGUCUAUGUGUGUUUCCCCUAGGAAAAAAAUGUUGUGUUUACCCAGCACAACUCUCAGUGCCAUUUUUCUUAAUUUAACAAAUCAGACCACAUACUUUACUUACAUUAGUUCACACCUCAUCAUCAUCAUGCCCAUAUGUUGUGAGCUUGUUUAUUGAGCCCACAUGCCAGAUGGAGAAACUAAGCCACAUAAAUAAAUGUGCCCUGGU
rnacentral:lncRNA from 10 species